rnacentral:lncRNA from 1 species
UUGCUUUCAGGUGGACGCCUAGAACUGUGAAUUUUUCAUGGAAAAAGGAUGUGGCUAGGUUGAUGUACAGACCUGUAUUUGUUGCCAAAAAAAAAAAAAUGUCGAAUAAAUUUUCGUCCAUCUUAUUAUUUAUUCAUCCUUUUUGCAUAGGUAAAGUAACAUCAUAACUGGUUAAUGGAAAAUGUACGCAAGAUUCUGUACGAAUACCUCAAUCGAUACCAGAUAUUGAACUAUCUAAAAGUUUCCAUAAUUUUUGUAGUUUCUUUUUGAUCUUUAUUUGACAAAUACUCUUAAAAGUUAAUUGUAAUCAAGUGAAAGUUUGACAAAGAAUAUGUGGUGAUUGGUGAGAAUUCAAUUCUGGCCACACAAGUUGCAAAAGUGAGAAGAACAAAACAUACUUGAUGAAUAAAUGUGUCAAUUUUCAAUUGGAUGUCAUUCAGAGAUGCGGACAAAACAUGACCUUAAAUUCCCUGAACCUCGAAACUUCUCUGCAUAAAACUUCUUUAUUCUUUCAAAAACGGCCCUGCUGUAUAUUGCUAGGAGGAGGAGAAGAAGAUGGGAAAGUUCUGUUGCGAAACAGUCGAAGAAUCGUCAUCCUCAUCGUCGCCCCUCCUAGGACUGAUUAUUGCUUUGGUCAUAGCAAUGGCAAUUUUCGUCCUCUGUAGAACUCCCCCAGUAAGAAGAAGACACACUGUUUAUCAUUACUGUUAGCAAAAACAGCAAUGUGUUAAGGGUCGUCUCGCAGUCUAAUCUUGAUCGACUUGAACCUCAAUCGAUGAUCUUAUGCUUCAAGAUAUCCAUCGGCCCCCUUUUUUUUUUUUUUUUAAAAUAAUUAUGUUUCCUCAAUCCUUUGAUGUCUACUCCAGUAAUUUGGGUAUUUUUCUGCUAAGUCUUGUAUGGACUAUUGUCGGCAUUCUUGGAGUUCUGGCACUCCCACN